ACCUGGGUGGCUCAAUGGUUGAGCAUCUGUCUUUGGCUCAGGUCAUGAUCCUGGGGUCCUGGGAUCAAGUCCCAUACCAGGCU
rnacentral:tRNA from 1 species